rnacentral:rRNA from 1 species
CCCUUAGAUGUUCUGGGCCGCACGCGUGCUACACUGAUACAUUCAACGAGUCUAAAACCUGGUCUGAUAGGGCUGGGUAAUCUUUUGAAAGUGCAUCGUGAUUGGGAUAGAUGAUUGCAAUUCUUCAUCUUCAACGAGGAAUGCCUAGUAAACGCAAGUCAUCAGCUUGCAUUGAUUACGUCCCUGCCCUUUGUACACACCGCCCGUCGCUCCUACCGAUUGAAUGAUCCGAUGAAUACCAUGGAUUGAGAGUACGAAUAGGUUCGCUUAUUUCUGCUGCUCGAGAAGUGGAGUAAAUCUUAUCAUUUAGAGGAAGGAGAAGUCGUAACA